rnacentral:rRNA from 1 species
AAUAGAUACCCGGGUAGUCCACGCCGUAAACGAUGAGUGCUAAGUGUUAGAGGGUUUCCGCCCUUUAGUGCUGCAGCAAACGCAUUAAGCACUCCGCCUGGGGAGUACGGCCGCAAGGCUGAAACUCAAAGGAAUUGACGGGGGGCCCGCACAAGCGGUGGAGCAUGUGGUUUAAUCGUAAGCAACGCGAAGAACCUUACCAGGUCUUGACAUCCUCUGACACUCCUAGAGAUAGGACGUUCCCCUUCCGGGGGACGAGAGUGACAGGUGGUGCAUGGUUGUCGUCAGCUCGUGUCGUGAGAUGUUGGGUUAAGUCCCGCAACGAGCGCAACCCUUGAUCUUAGUUGCCAGCAUUCAGUUGGGCACUCUAAGGUGACUGCCGGUGACAAACCGGAGGAAGGUGGGGAUGACGUCAAAUCAUCAUGCCCCUUAUGACCUGGGCUACACACGUGCUACAAUGGAUGGUACAAAGGGCAGCAAAACCGCGAGGUCGAGCAAAUCCCAUAAAACCAUUCUCAGUUCGGA